rnacentral:rRNA from 1 species
GAUGAACGCUGGCGGCGUGCCUAAUACAUGCAAGUCGAGCGAACAGACGAGGAGCUUGCUCCUCUGACGUUAGCGGCGGACGGGUGAGUAACACGUGGAUAACCUACCUAUAAGACUGGGAUAACUUCGGGAAACCGGAGCUAAUACCGGAUAACAUGUUGAACCGCAUGGUUCAACAGUGAAAGACGGUUUUGCUGUCACUUAUAGAUGGAUCCGCGUCGCAUUAGCUAGUUGGUAAGGUAACGGCUUACCAAGGCAACGAUGCGUAGCCGACCUGAGAGGGUGAUCGGCCACACUGGAACUGAGACACGGUCCAGACUCCUACGGGAGGCAGCAGUAGGGAAUCUUCCGCAAUGGGCGAAAGCCUGACGGAGCAACGCCGCGUGAGUGAAGAAGGUCUUCGGAUCGUAAAACUCUGUUAUUAGCGAAGAACAAAUGUGUAAGUAACUAUGCACGUCUUGACGGUACCUAAUCAGAAAGCCACGGCUAACUACGUG